rnacentral:lncRNA from 1 species
GGGAAGGUGCCAGCGCGGGGGUUUGCACGGCGGGGGGGCGGUGCUCUCUAGGGGCCAGUUUCUCUCGGGCGUCUCCGUGAAGCCUCCGUGAAGAGGCAAACACGAGGGGCUACGUUUACGGGAAGCUUGAAGUCAUAAGGGUGUUCUAGUGGUGAGAGAGUUUGUUUUCUCUAGAAACGCGUUGAAAAAAAAAUCAGCUUACUUUAUGUAAUUCAUCCGAGUAACACUUCCUGCCUCUCCGCCCCGGAGUUGUUCGCCGAAAAGUAGUAUGUAAACAAGAAGUGGACUCUUUUUUUUCCACCCCUGUGUGCCUUGAGCUAGUUUUGCGAGAUGAACACUGUAAACGAAGAAGUUAAGCCAGCAGAUGCUAAACCGGAAUCUGAAAAAUUAUUUCAUUAUUGUGAAUGAGGAGAUGUUUAGAAAGCUAAGAAUCCAGACAGUGGAGGGGGGAGUGAAGGAGAGACUCUUAAAAGGUUCAUACCACUUCUUAUUUUUAAAGAUGUAUUCAAGUAUUGUUUACAGCAUGGACUUGGAGUAG